UUACAAACAAUAACAACAAAAACAACUCAAAAUCAACAAAUUACACUGAAACUUCAACCAUUUCAAUCAAUUUCGUUAAAUUUCAACCAAUUUCAUUCGUUACGGUUACUAUAAUUCAACUUUUCAAAGUAACGAACCGAUAGAAGCGAUAGUGACAGCUGGAUCUCAUCUUUUCCCCAAGUUUUAACCGCCGGAGGUUUCGCCGGAACAACAACCGCACGCGGCGGAGGCGGAACACACGGCCACACCGACGACGACGUCGCAGCGGCUACGGUGUAACAAGACGACGACGUUUUAAUCGAAGCGUUAGGUUUUGUUAACGGUAAUAAAUAACGAGAAUGAAGACACCGGAAACCGCCGAGUGCGCGGACUACAGUACGGAGCUGUUCGCUACCGUAUCCGAUGUUUUCCGUGCAGAUCUGCUCCCAUAACCUCUCAUCCUGAGCCGUUCGAUGCCACUGCUUGCUGACGCAAGCAACCGUACCUAACGUUUUUGCGUCUACAUGCUUUAAUACUUCGUAUAACAGAUUUUCGUCGGUGAAAACUGCCGCUGCGGCGGAAUACGACGGCGAUGACGGCGGCGAACGACGGCGAUCGUGUUCUGAUUGUUUGAUCUUCUUCAGAGGCUUCUGAUCUGAACAAUCUACAGGUAUUGAUCUCUUCAUCUUCAUCUUGUUGUGAAUGAAUGUUGAUGAAAACAAUGGAGUUAUCAGGGUUUGAUUGUUGGUGAAGAGGACAAGAUGAGAAAUGAAUGUGAUUUGGGGGGUUUUGAAGAGGCUUGUUAAUGUUGACUAUUGGUGGCUAAAUGGUGAUUAUUAUUGUUUUUUGGUUUUUUUAUGAGUAUAAAACAAAAUGCCUUACUAGAAAAAUAUUAGUUAGAAGUUGAUAAGAUUUGUAACUUAAUUAAAUAUAAUUAGUCAAAGUUUGUUGGGAAAAAACCCUAGAGUUUAUUUUAUUAUAUAGGCUUAAGAUAGUUUUAUAUAGUGUAUGUCAAAAUUUCAUCUAUGAUCGUAAUCGUUUGGUAAGCUGUCACACUUUUGAUCUAUUAGUAGACAGACGCAUGUAAAAUUUAUGAAGUUACUAGGAAGUUAUCAUUUACCUUUAAU
rnacentral:lncRNA from 1 species